GAAGGGGCCUAAAGGACUGCUACUCCUUACACCCGAGACUUGAACCUCGGACCCAUCA
rnacentral:tRNA from 1 species